rnacentral:rRNA from 1 species
GUCUACGGCCAUGCCACCCUCAACAAGCCUGAUGUCUAAUAUCAGAAGCUAAGCAGGGUCGGACCUGGUUAGUACUUGGAUGGGAGACCACCUAGGAAGACCAGGUGCUGGAGGCA